rnacentral:tRNA from 2 species
CUGGAUGUAGCUCAGCCGAAGAGCACGUGGGUGACAACCAUGAGGUCGCUGGUGCAAUCCCAGCCAUCCAGA